rnacentral:rRNA from 1 species
AGUGAACGCUGGCGGUAGGCCUAACACAUGCAAGUCGAACGGCAGCACAGUAAGAGCUUGCUCUUACGGGUGGCGAGUGGCGGACGGGUGAGGAAUACAUCGGAAUCUACUUUUUCGUGGGGGAUAACGUAGGGAAACUUACGCUAAUACCGCAUACGACCUACGGGUGAAAGCAGGGGAUCUUCGUACCUUGCGCGAUCGAAUGAGCCGAUGUCGGAUUAGCUAGUUGGCGGGGUAAAGGCCCACCAAGGCGACGAUCCGUAGCUGGUCUGAGAGGAUGAUCAGCAACACUGGAACUGAGACACGGUCCAGACUCCUACGGGAGGCAGCAGUGGGGAAUAUUGGACAAUGGGCGCAAGCCUGAUCCAGCCAUACCGCGUGGGUGAAGAAGGCCUUCGGGUUGUAAAGCCCUUUUGUUGGGAAAGAAAAGCAGCAGGUUAAUACCCCGCUGUUCUGACGGUACCCAAAGAAUAAGCACCGGCUAACUUCGUG